CGCUGGCGGCGUGCUUAAUACAUGCAAGUCAACUUGACUUUAGAUAGCAAUAUCGAAAGUAGGGUGGCGCACGGGUGCGUAACGCGUAGGUAAUCUGCCCUGAGGUCUGACAUAACCCGUCGAAAGGCGGGCUAACAUCAGAUGAUAUAUAAUCACGACAUCGUGGAAAUAUCAAAUCUUCGGAGCCUUGGGAUGAGCCUGCGUCUGAUUAGGUAGUUGGCGGAGUAAUAGCCCACCAAGCCUACGAUCAGUAGCUGGUCUGAGAGGAUGAUCAGCCACACUGGAACUGAGACACGGUCCAGACUCCUACGGGAGGCAGCAGUAAGGAAUAUUGCUCAAUGGGGGAAACCCUGAAGCAGCAACGCCGCGUGAAGGAUGAAAUACUUUGUAUGUAAACUUCUGUAAGAUGGGAAAAAUAUUCUCCUCGGGAGAAUUGAUUGUACCAUCAGAGUAAGCCCCGGCUAACUACGUG
rnacentral:rRNA from 1 species